UCCCCCUGGCAAUGGGCAAAGAGACACUUGGUGGUGGUGGUGUUCUUACAUCAGUCGGGCAGAACAGAUGGCAGUCCUUUGUUCAUCCUAGCUUGAGGCCUGGCUUGGCAGCCAGCGCUGUUUCAUGCCCAGGGCAUUUAA